GUGAUAAUAUGAUGUCAUAAUGUUCUACAUUGUGAUGUCAUAUUAUAUAUU
ensembl:miRNA cin-mir-4151 cin-mir-4151